rnacentral:rRNA from 1 species
GUUUGACCUCAAAUCAGGUAGGAGUCCCCGCUGAACUUAAGCAUAUCAAUAAGCGGG